rnacentral:rRNA from 1 species
CGUAGGGGGCAAGCGUUGUCCGGAUUUAUUGGGCGUAAAGAGCGUGUAGGCGGCCAGAUAGGUCCGUUGUGAAAACUCGAGGCUCAACCUCGAGACGCCGAUGGAAACCAUCUGGCUAGAGUCCGGAAGAGGAGAGUGGAAUUCCCGGUGUAGCGGUGAAAUGCGCAGAUAUCGGGAAGAACACCCGUGGCUAAGGCGGCUCUCUAGUACGGUACUGACGCUGAGACGCGAAAGCGUGGGGAGCGAACAGGAUUAGAUACCCUGGUAGUCCACGCCGUAAACGAUGGGUGCUAGGUGUGGGGGGUGUCGACUCCCUCCGUGCCGAAGCUAACGCAUUAAGCACCCCGCCUGGGGAGUACGGCCGCAAGGCUA